GAUGAACGCUGGCGGCGUGCCUAAUACAUGCAAGUCGAGCGAACAGACGAGGAGCUUGCUCCUCUGACGUUAGCGGCGGACGGGUGAGUAACACGUGGAUAACCUACCUAUAAGACUGGGAUAACUUCGGGAAACCGGAUCUAAUACCGGAUAAUAUAUUGAACCGCAUGGUUCAAUAGUGAAAGACGGUUUUGCUGUCCCUUAUAGAUGGAUCCGCGCCGCAUUAGCUAGUUGGUAAGGUAACGGCUUACCAAGGCAACGAUGCGUAGCCGACCUGAGAGGGUGAUCGGCCACACUGGAACUGAGACACGGUCCAGACUCCUACGGGAGGCAGCAGUAGGGAAUCUUCCGCAAUGGGCGAAAGCUUGACGGAGCAACGCCGCGUGAGUGAUGAAGGUCUUCGGAUCGUAAAACUCUGUUAUUAGGGAAGAACAAAUGUGGAAGUAACUAUGCACGUCUUGACGGUACCUAAUCAGAAAGCCACGGCUAACUACGUG
rnacentral:rRNA from 1 species